GUCGUUGGGAGGAUAAAAAUAAUCUAUGGACUAGAGGAAGCGCUCAAAGGAUAGCUGUAUUAUCCACACUCAAGCGAACCGGGGAAGAGGAUUCCCCAAAUCGGCCGGCUGUGUCCCUGCUGAGGCCCAGCCCUCCAACUUGCUCAAGAUGAUCUGGAUGUUAUGGAUUCUUUUUGAGUUGAAAGAAGAAGAUGCAGCCAGGUCCUGUCCUGCAAUGGAAGGUUCUGCAAUGGAAGGGCAUCAUUGCCUAUGAGCAAGUUAGCGGAGCAGACCCUGCUCUUUCCUCCUCCCCCGAUGACAGUAGCUGAAAGAUGGACACAACCCAGUCUCUGUCAACAGAUAAAUGGAUAAACAAAACGUGGUGUGCGAUACAAUGGAAUAUUAUCCCGCCAUAGAGAGGAAUGCAGUUGUGCCACAUGCUACAACACAGACGAACCCUGCAGACGUUGUGGUAGGUGAAACAAGCAAAUAAGCCAGAGACAAAAAGCACACAUAUUGUCUGAUUCCAUGUAUAUGAAAUAUAUAAAAGAGGAAAUGUCAUAGAAACAGAAAGUAGAGCUCACCAUGGGCUGGGGGAAGACGUUAUUGCUUACUGGGUACUGGGUUUCUAUUUGGAAUGAUGGAAAUGUUUUUGGAAACAGAUGGUGUGAUGGUUAUACAACAGUGUGAAUGUGAUUAAUGCUACUGAAUUGUACACUUAGAAAUGAUUAAAAUGGCAUCCUUUAUGUUAUAUACAUUUUUUCCCACACACAAAAAAAGUGUGGUUCUAUCUUUCAGACUCUUCUCCUAUGAUAUGGUAACAUCCAAAUUAGAGAAAUGAACGCCACCUGCCCUUUUUAUAUUCCCUACAGUCACAAGUGUGGGCUCCGGACACAAUUUGCCUGGGUUCAGAUCCUCCCUUGGGUCCUUACUACCUGUGCCAUCUGGGGCAAGCUGCUCAAAAUUUUGAGCUUCAGUUCCCUUUUAUGUAAACUGGAGAUAAAAAUAAUCUGUAUCUCAUAGACACUAUGAGAUGCUUACAUCGUGCCUGGUAUGAAGGAAGUGCUUAGGAAAUACGAUUUCUUCCUGUUCCUUGAAAAGCACCACUAUAGUGGCAGCAGAAGGUAGGGUGCAUCAGAGCCGGGUGCCCAAUGGUGCUAGGGCCAAAGUACUAAUCCCGAUUUCCCAGGAUGCUCCUUACUGAGGUGGGAAGCCUUGGCUCUCAUCCCCAGAUGACCGGAAGACAACAAGCCACACUCCUUGAGGCUCUACCUCAAGCCCGCUCCAUCCUUCCCACUUUAGGUAGAGAGAUCAUUCUAGUCCUUCAGUAGAUAGCACCUUGCAGCUCUUGAAUCCAGUCCACACUCAUGAAUACCCCUUUCUGCUCCAACCAUGUUGACCUGCUUGCAGCUCCACCUGGAAGGCUCCUACCUCGCCACCUCUCCUGGCUCUCGACUCCCCUUCCUUUCAGCCUGACUCACCAGGGCUGAGUUAGAUGCUUCUCCUCUGAGCUCACAUAAUGCCCCUUCCGCCCUCCCUGGCAUCGCCUACUCACUCUGAUGUUAUUACCUGUUUCCUUAUCAUGUCUUAAGAUAAGAUUAAGCUCCUUAGGCUAUUAUUAACCUUUAAUCCCCAGUGCCCAGAACAGUGCCCAGAACAGUGCCCAUAGUGCCUGGCUCAGAGGAACGCAUGCUGGUUGAAUAGAGGAAUGAAUUUGAACAGAUAGAAGAAUAGAUGGAUGAUCUGGCAUUGGUUCUACAAGUUGCAUCAGGUUGUAAGAUGGCAAUACCAGCUCCUAUCGGCCGUUGGCAUCUUUCAGACCUUCAUUAGACCAGUAUGGACCCUUGACAGGAUGUCGAUUUUAAUGGGAAAUAGUGACAGCCUAGGUUCCAAACAAGGCAGGUGAGUGACUGUUGGUUUUUUAGAAACUUACUGCCCCCUACUGUCUGUUUUUAAAUAGAUUUCCACCCAUGGUUUCAGUUCCUUCAAGACCCUCUAAACCUACCUCGUUCUUAACUUUCCUACUUCCACUGCUGGUGGCACCAUUUAUGGGAGCUACUAACACUUAAAAUCUUUUCUUAUUCUCCCGUAGCCCCUCAGAUCUCUGCAAUCCCUCAACCCAUUAACGUGACCUCCCAUCUCUACCCACUUUCCUAUUCUUACUAUUACCAUUAAAAAGUGCUUGUAAGAACAAAGCUCUAUUAAAGAAUGUUUUCCUCUGCAUUGGGAAAUCAUCAAGGCCA